rnacentral:rRNA from 1 species
AGAGUUUGAUCCUGGCUCAGGAUGAACGUUGGCGGCAUGCUUAACACAUGCAAGUCGAACGCAGGCUUCGGCCUGAGUGGCGAACGGGUGCGUAACACGUAGGUGACCUGGCCUGGAGUGGGGGAUAACCCUCGGAAACGGGGGCUAAUACCGCAUGGUCUGGAGGCAUUUUGAAAGCCUUCAGUAAAGCUCGAUGUGCUCUAGGGGGGGCCUGCGGCCUAUCAGGUAGUUGGUGGGGUAAAAGCCUACCAAGCCGAUGACGGGUAGCUGACCUGAGAGGGUGGUCAGCCACAGGGGAACUGAGACACGGUCCCCACUCCUACGGGAGGCAGCAGUGAGGAAUAUUGGGCAAUGGGGGCAACCCUGACCCAGCAAUGCCGCGUGCGGGAGGACGCCCUUCGGGGUGUAAACCGCUUUUGUGAGGGAGGAGCAAGGACCGUACCUCACGAAGAAGUCACGGCUAACUACGUGCCAGCAGCCGCGGUAAUACGUAGGUGGCGAACGUUAUCCGGAGUUACUGGGCGUAAAGGGUCCGCAGGCGGGCUUGCAAGUCUGACGUGAAAUCUUCGGGCUUAACUCGAAGAGGUCGUUGGAAACUGCGAGUCUAGCAUCCCGCAGAGGUCGGUGGAAUUCCCGGUGUAGUGGUGGAAUGCGUAGAGAUCGGGAGGAACCUCGAAAGCGAAGGCAGCCGGCUGGGCGCGGAUGGACGCUGAGGGACGAAAGCGUGGGGAGCGAACAGGAUUAGAUACCCUCGUAGUCC